rnacentral:rRNA from 1 species
UACGUAGGUGGCAAGCGUUGUCCGGAAUUACUGGGUGUAAAGGGCGUGUAGGCGGGAAGGCAAGUCAGAUGUGAAAGCCCAUGGCUUAACUGUGGAACUGCAUCUGAAACUGUUUUUCUUGAGUACUGGAGAGGAAAGUGGAAUUCCUAGUGUAGCGGUGAAAUGCGUAGAUAUUAGGAGGAACACCAGUAGCGAAGGCGGCUCUCUGGACUGUAACUGACGCUGAGGCACGAAAGCGUGGGGAGCAAACAGGAUUAGAUACCCU